CCCCCGCAUAUGUAAUUUGUCUCCUCGCUUUCCUGCAGUCGAGCGCGCUCCCCAGGAGGUAGCCGGCAGUACGGGUGAGUAACGCGUGGGAAUCUACCCAUCUCUACGGAACAACUCCGGGAAACUGGAGCUAAUACCGAAUACGUCCUUCGGGAGAAAGAUUUAUCGGAGAUGGAUGAGCCCGCGUUGGAUUAGCUAGUUGGUGGGGUAAUGGCCUACCAAGGCGACGAUCCAUAGCUGGUCUGAGAGGAUGAUCAGCCACACUGGGACUGAGACACGGCCCAAACUCCUACGGGAGGCAGCAGUGGGGAAUAUUGGACAAUGGGCGCAAGCCUGAUCCAGCCAUGCCGCGUGAGUGAUGAAGGCCCUAGGGUUGUAAAGCUCUUUCAACGGUGAAGAUAAUGACGGUAACCGUAGAAGAAGCCCCGGCUAACUUCGUGCCAUCAGCCGCGGUAAUACGAAGGGGGCUAGCGUUGUUCGGAAUUACUGGGCGUAAAGCGCACGUAGGCGGAUUCUUAAGUCAGGGGUGAAAUCCCGGGGCUCAACCCCGGAACUGCCUUUGAUACUGGGUAUCUCGAGUCCGGAAGAGGUGAGUGGAAUUCCGAGUGUAGAGGUGAAAUUCGUAUAUAUUCGGAGGAACACCAGUGGCGAAGGCGGCUCACUGGUCCGGUACUGACGCUGAGGUGCGAAAGCGUGGGCAGCAAACAGGAUUAGAUACCCUGGUAGUCCACGCCGUAAACGAUGGAAGCUAGCGGUUGGCAAAGUUUACUUGUCGGUGGCGCAGCUCACGCAUUAAGCUUCCCGCCUGGGAGUUCGGUCGCAAGAUUAAAACUCAAAGGAAUUGACGGGGCCCCGCCCCAGCGGGAGGAGCAUGGUGGUUUAAUUCGAAGCAAACGCGCAUAACCUUACCAGCCCCUUGAACAUCGCGGGUCGCGGUUUUCAAAAGAUGGAAUACCUCCAGUACCGCUACACGGAUAACAAGUCGCUGCAUAGCCUUGUCGACACUCUUGUCUUGAAAUGAUACAAUAAGUCCAGGCAGCUAGCAGCAACCGCUCGCCCAUUAGUGGCAGCAUUUAGGUGGGUCACUCUCAAGCGAGCAUGGCGAGUCAAUAAUCCGAUAGGUAGCUGGGGAUGACGUCAGAAUCCUUCUACUGGCACUUAGCGCGUGGCUACACACGUGACUACAAGGUGGUCAAGUGGCAGGAACUCGGAGCUGACCUACUCGAAGCAGUCGAGUUCAGAUGAACGUUGCAACUGAGGUGCAGCG
rnacentral:rRNA from 1 species